rnacentral:rRNA from 1 species
CCUACGGGAGGCUGCAGUGGGGAAUUUUGGACAAUGGGCGCAAGCCUGAUCCAGCCAUGCCGCGUGCAGGAUGAAGGCCUUCGGGUUGUAAACUGCUUUUGUACGGAACGAAACGGCCUUUUCUAAUAAAGAGGGCUAAUGACGGUACCGUAAGAAUAAGCACCGGCUAACUACGUGCCAGCAGCCGCGGUAUUACGCAGGGUGCAAGCGGUAAUCGGAAUUACUGGGCGUAAAGCGUGCGCCGGCGGUGAUGUAAGACAGUUGUGAGAUCCCCGGGCUCAACCUGGGAACUGCAUAUGUGACUGCAUCGCUGGAGGACGGCAGAGGGGGAUGGAAUUCCGCGUGUAGCAGUGAAAUGCGUAGAUAUGCGGAGGAACACCGAUGGCGAAGGCAAUCCCCUAAGCUUGUACUGACGCUCAUGCACGAAAGCGUGGGGAGCAAACUGGAUUAGAUACCCGUGUAGUC